UAGGGAAUAUUGGGCAAUGGACGGAAGUCUGACCCAGCCAUGCCGCGUGCAGGAAGAAGGCCUUCUGGGUUGUAAACUGCUUUUAUAUAGGAAGAAAAAACCCAUGCGUGGGGAACUGACGGUACUAUAUGAAUAAGCACCGGCUAACUCCGUGCCAGCAGCCGCGGUAAUACGGAGGGUGCAAGCGUUGUCCGGAUUUAUUGGGUUUAAAGGGUGCGUAGGCGGCCCGUUAAGUCAGUGGUGAAAGCCUCCAGCUCAACUGGAGAACUGCCAUUGAUACUGACGGGCUUGAGUACAGACGAGGUUGGCGGAAUUGAUUGUGUAGCGGUGAAAUGCAUAGAUACAAUCAAGAACUCCGAUUGCGUAGGCAGCUAACUAGGCUGUAACUGACGCUGAGGCACGAAAGCGUGGGGAGCGAACA
rnacentral:rRNA from 1 species